GUUAGAGACCUGCUUAAUUAUAUAUAUAUAUGUAUGUAUGUGUGUGUGUGUGUGUGUGUGUGUAUAUAUAUAUAUAUAUAUAUUUAUGUUUAUAUAUUCAUAUAAAUGUA
rnacentral:miRNA from 1 species